rnacentral:misc_RNA from 1 species
UUUCCGUAGGUGAACCUGCGGAAGGAUCAUUAUCGAAUUUCGAGGGGAAGGAAGAUGAGGAGUGGAGACUGUCGCUGGCUUUCCCGCCUGGGAAGCAUGUGCACGCCUUGCUUUUCGUUGACCUUUCUCUUACUCUCACACCUGUGCACCCAUUGUAGGUCCUCGAAAGAGGAUCUAUGUUUUUAACAUCACACGCAUCGUAUGUCCAUAGAAUGUAACAUGAUCGUCGAUCGACCUCGCGGUCGGGUGGCGGUCUAAAUAAAUAAAUACAACUUUCAGCAACGGAUCUCUUGGCUCUC